rnacentral:rRNA from 1 species
GACGAACGCUGGCGGCGUGCUUAACACAUGCAAGUCGAACGGAAAGGCCCUGCUUUUGUGGGGUGCUCGAGUGGCGAACGGGUGAGUAACACGUGAGUAACCUGCCCUUGACUUUGGGAUAACUUCAGGAAACUGGGGCUAAUACCGGAUAGGAGCUCCUGCUGCAUGGUGGGGGUUGGAAAGUUUGGGCGGUUGGGGAUGGACUCGCUGCUUCUCAGCUUGUUGGUGGGGUAGUGGCUUACCAAGGCUUUGACGGGUAGCCGGCCUGAGAGGGUGACCGGCCACAUUGGGACUGAGAUACGGCCCAGACUCCUACGGGAGGCAGCAGUGGGGAAUAUUGCACAAUGGGCGGAAGCCUGAUGCAGCAACGCCGCGUGCGGGAUGACGGCCUUCGGGUUGUAAACCGCUUUCGCCUGUGACGAAGCGUGAGUGACGGUAAUGGGUAAAGAAGCACCGGCUAACUACGUG